GAUCAUGGCUCAGAUUGAACGCUGGCGGCAGGCCUAACACAUGCAAGUCGAACGGUAACAGGAAGCAGCUUGCUGCUUUGCUGACGAGUGGCGGACGGGUGAGUAAUGUCUGGGAAACUGCCUGAUGGGAGGGGGAUAACUACUGGAAACGGUAGCUAAUACCGCAUAACGUCGCAAGACCAAAGAGGGGGACCUUCGGGCCUCUUGCCAUCGGAUGUGCCCAGAUGGGAUUAGCUAGG
rnacentral:rRNA from 1 species